rnacentral:misc_RNA from 1 species
UUAAGUUCAGCGGGUAUCCCUACCUGAUCCGAGGUCAACCUUAUAAAAUUGUGCCCUAGGGCUACGUUUUGACGGCGUGGUCGUGCUGUGCUCUAGUGCGAGGUGUGCUACUACGCAAGGGAGGCUGCAGCGAGACCGCUAUUGAUUUUCAGGGCCGGCCGCGCUCUAAGGGCGGGAGGCCGUACUCCAACACCAAGCCC